UACGUAGGGCGCAAGCGUUGUCCGGAAUUAUUGGGCGUAAAGAGCUCGUAGGCGGCUUGUCACGUCGGUUGUGAAAGCCCGGGGCUUAACCCCGGGUCUGCAGUCGAUACGGGCAGGCUAGAGUGUGGUAGGGGAGAUCGGAAUUCCUGGUGUAGCGGUGAAAUGCGCAGAUAUCAGGAGGAACACCGGUGGCGAAGGCGGUUCUCUGGGCCUUACCUGACGCUGAGGAGCGAAAGCGUGGGGAGCGAACAGG
rnacentral:rRNA from 1 species